GACGAACGCUGGCGGCGUGCUUAACACAUGCAAGUCGAACGGAAAGGCCCUGCUUUUGUGGGGUGCUCGAGUGGCGAACGGGUGAGUAACACGUGAGUAACCUGCCCUUGACUUUGGGAUAACUUAAGGAAACUGGGGCUAAUAUCGGAUAGGAGCUCCUGCUGCAUGGUGGGGGUUGGAAAGUUUCGGCGGUUGGGGAUGGACUCGCGGCUUAUCAGCUUGUUGGUGGGGUAGUGGCUUACCAAGGCUUUGACGGGUAGCCGGCCUGAGAGGGUGACCGGCCACAUUGGGACUGAGAUACGGCCCAGACUCCUACGUGAGGCAGCAGUGGGGAAUAUUGCACAAUGGGCGGAAGCCUGAUGCAGCAACGCCGCGUGCGGGAUGACGGCCUUCUGGUUGUAAACCGCUUUCGCCUGUGACGAAGCGUUAGUGACGGUAAUGGGUAAAGAAGCACCGGCUAACUACGUG
rnacentral:rRNA from 1 species